rnacentral:rRNA from 1 species
AUACGGAGGGUCCAAGCGUUAUCCGGAAUCAUUGGGUUUAAAGGGUCCGCAGGCGGUCAAUUAGGUCAGAGGUGAAAGCCCAUCGCUCAACGAUGGAACUGCCUUUGAUACUGGUUGACUUGAGUUAUACGGAAGUAGAUAGAAUAAGUAGUGUAGCGGUGAAAUGCAUAGAUAUUACUUAGAAUACCGAUUGCGAAGGCAGUCUACUACGUAUAUACUGACGCUGAGGGACGAAAGCGUGGGGAGCGAACAGGAUUAGAAACCCUAGUAGUCC